AGCGUAGGCGGAUUUUUAAGUGAGAUGUGAAAUACUCGGGCUUAACCUGAGUGCUGCAUUUCAAACUGAAAGUCUAGAGUGCAGGAGAGGAGAAGGGAAUUCCUAGUGUAGCGGUGAAAUGCGUAGAGAUUAGGAAGAACACCAGUGGCGAAGGCGCUUCUCUGGACUGUAACUGACGCUGAGGCUCGAAAGCGUGGGGAGGCAAACA
rnacentral:rRNA from 1 species